rnacentral:rRNA from 1 species
GUUAAGCGACUAAGCGUACACGGUGGAUGCCCUGGCAGUCAGAGGCGAUGAAGGACGUGCUAAUCUGCGAUAAGCGUCGGUGAGGUGAUAUGAACCGUUAUAACCGGCGAUUUCCGAAUGGGGAAACCCAGUGUGUUUCGACACACUAUCAUUAACUGAAUCCAUAGGUUAAUGAGGCGAACCGGGGGAACUGAAACAUCUAAGUACCCCGAGGAAAAGAAAUCAACCGAGAUUCCCCCAGUAGCGGCGAGCGAACGGGGAGGAGCCCAGAGCCUGAAUCAGUGUGUGUGUUAGUGGAAGCGUCUGGAAAGGCGCGCGAUACAGGGUGACAGCCCCGUACACAAAAAUGCACAUGCUGUGAGCUCGAUGAGUAGGGCGGGACACGUGGUAUCCUGUCUGAAUAUGGGGGGACCAUCCUCCAAGGCUAAAUACUCCUGACUGACCGAUAGUGAACCAGUACCGUGAGGGAAAGGCGAAAAGAACCCCGGCGAGGGGAGUGAAAAAGAACCUGAAACCGUGUACGUACAAGCAGUGGGAGCCUCUUAAUGGGGUGACUGCGUACCUUUUGUAUAAUGGGUCAGCGACUUAUAUUCUGUAGCAAGGUUAACCGAAUAGGGGAGCCGAAGGGAAACCGAGUCUUAACUGGGCGUUAAGUUGCAGGGUAUAGACCCGAAACCCGGUGAUCUAGCCAUGGGCAGGUUGAAGGUUGGGUAACACUAACUGGAGGACCGAACCGACUAAUGUUGAAAAAUUAGCGGAUGACUUGUGGCUGGGGGUGAAAGGCCAAUCAAACCGGGAGAUAGCUGGUUCUCCCCGAAAGCUAUUUAGGUAGCGCCUCGUGAAUUCAUCUCCGGGGGUAGAGCACUGUUUCGGCAAGGGGGUCAUCCCGACUUACCAACCCGAUGCAAACUGCGAAUACCGGAGAAUGUUAUCACGGGAGACACACGGCGGGUGCUAACGUCCGUCGUGAAGAGGGAAACAACCCAGACCGCCAGCUAAGGUCCCAAAGUCAUGGUUAAGUGGGAAACGAUGUGGGAAGGCCCAGACAGCCAGGAUGUUGGCUUAGAAGCAGCCAUCAUUUAAAGAAAGCGUAAUAGCUCACUGGUCGAGUCGGCCUGCGCGGAAGAUGUAACGGGGCUAAACCAUGCACCGAAGCUGCGGCAGCGACACUAUGUGUUGUUGGGUAGGGGAGCGUUCUGUAAGCCUGUGAAGGUGGCCUGUGAGGGUUGCUGGAGGUAUCAGAAGUGCGAAUGCUGACAUAAGUAACGAUAAAGCGGGUGAAAAGCCCGCUCGCCGGAAGACCAAGGGUUCCUGUCCAACGUUAAUCGGGGCAGGGUGAGUCGACCCCUAAGGCGAGGCCGAAAGGCGUAGUCGAUGGGAAACAGGUUAAUAUUCCUGUACUUGGUGUUACUGCGAAGGGGGGACGGAGAAGGCUAUGUUGGCCGGGCGACGGUUGUCCCGGUUUAAGCGUGUAGGCUGGUUUUCCAGGCAAAUCCGGAAAAUCAAGGCUGAGGCGUGAUGACGAGGCACUACGGUGCUGAAGCGACAAAUGCCCUGCUUCCAGGAAAAGCCUCUAAGCAUCAGGUAACAUCAAAUCGUACCCCAAACCGACACAGGUGGUCAGGUAGAGAAUACCAAGGCGCUUGAGAGAACUCGGGUGAAGGAACUAGGCAAAAUGGUGCCGUAACUUCGGGAGAAGGCACGCUGAUAUGUAGGUGAAGCGACUUGCUCGUGGAGCUGAAAUCAGUCGAAGAUACCAGCUGGCUGCAACUGUUUAUUAAAAACACAGCACUGUGCAAACACGAAAGUGGACGUAUACGGUGUGACGCCUGCCCGGUGCCGGAAGGUUAAUUGAUGGGGUUAGCGGCAACGCGAAGCUCUUGAUCGAAGCCCCGGUAAACGGCGGCCGUAACUAUAACGGUCCUAAGGUAGCGAAAUUCCUUGUCGGGUAAGUUCCGACCUGCACGAAUGGCGUAAUGAUGGCCAGGCUGUCUCCACCCGAGACUCAGUGAAAUUGAACUCGCUGUGAAGAUGCAGUGUACCCGCGGCAAGACGGAAAGACCCCGUGAACCUUUACUAUAGCUUGACACUGAACAUUGAGCCUUGAUGUGUAGGAUAGGUGGGAGGCUUUGAAGUGUGGACGCCAGUCUGCAUGGAGCCGACCUUGAAAUACCACCCUUUAAUGUUUGAUGUUCUAACGUUGGCCCGUAAUCCGGGUUGCGGACAGUGUCUGGUGGGUAGUUUGACUGGGGCGGUCUCCUCCUAAAGAGUAACGGAGGAGCACGAAGGUUGGCUAAUCCUGGUCGGACAUCAGGAGGUUAGUGCAAUGGCAUAAGCCAGCUUGACUGCGAGCGUGACGGCGCGAGCAGGUGCGAAAGCAGGUCAUAGUGAUCCGGUGGUUCUGAAUGGAAGGGCCAUCGCUCAACGGAUAAAAGGUACUCCGGGGAUAACAGGCUGAUACCGCCCAAGAGUUCAUAUCGACGGCGGUGUUUGGCACCUCGAUGUCGGCUCAUCACAUCCUGGGGCUGAAGUAGGUCCCAAGGGUAUGGCUGUUCGCCAUUUAAAGUGGUACGCGAGCUGGGUUUAGAACGUCGUGAGACAGUUCGGUCCCUAUCUGCCGUGGGCGCUGGAGAACUGAGGGGGGCUGCUCCUAGUACGAGAGGACCGGAGUGGACGCAUCACUGGUGUUCGGGUUGUCAUGCCAAUGGCACUGCCCGGUAGCUAAAUGCGGAAGAGAUAAGUGCUGAAAGCAUCUAAGCACGAAACUUGCCCCGAGAUGAGUUCUCCCUGAGACUUAGAGUCUCCUGAAGGAACGUUGAAGACGACGACGUUGAUAGGCCGGGUGUGUAAGCGCAGCGAUGCGUUGAGCUAACCGGUACUAAUGAACCGUGAGGCUUAACCUU